CACCACAGGACAUCAGGAGGCUGGGCAGCCCUGUCCAAACACAAACACGCUGGCAGUGGUGUCCCUACCUACACAGAUGUGAACACAAAGGAGAUUUUUCAGCUAAUAAGAUCCUCUGGUGUUUGUAGCACUAAGCAGCAAUAUGGAGGUCACUGGUGCCCUGGACAUGAGCAGUUUUGGAAGAGUAUUAGAAGCAAAUGCUCAACUGGAUGGGGUCCAGGAGAAAAUGAGAAGAGAGGAAUUGCUAAUAAUUUAGAAAACUCCUUUGAAGGAUUCCACUGCAAAGGAGAUCAAAGAGUUGGAGCAUCAACCAGCAGAAGAAAUAGCACUGUGGGGACAACUUCAGGAGAGGGCUCUGCUGGCAUCCCCAAACUCGCACUUGGAAUCAUAAUGGUGCUAUGAGACGAGCGAACACAGUAAGCUGGGGAGAUGAGUGAUUGCAUCUGAUGUUGGAGGACUAGAUCCUGCAGGAAGGUUAGCGGGGAACAUCCCCACGGUCACUGUUUGUUUGUUUACCUAACUUCAAAAUUCUCUCUGGAGCUGCUUAGACAAAGCCUGACUUAUCUUCCCAAAGAUGAAACACUGGGUAAAAGUGGUCUGCUGGAGUGCAUAGGAAUACUUGGGUCAGAAGGAAGUGAGACCCACACCUGUUGAGUACUUGAGAGUCACAA
rnacentral:lncRNA from 1 species